GACGAACGCUGGCGGCGUGCCUAAUACAUGCAAGUCGAACGCUGAAGGAGGAGCUUGCUCUUCUGGAUGAGUUGCGAACGGGUGAGUAACGCGUAGGUAACCUGCCUGGUAGCGGGGGAUAACUAUUGGAAACGAUAGCUAAUACCGCAUAAGAGUAAAUGUUGCAUGACAUUUACUUAAAAGGUGCACUUGCAUCACUACCAAAUGGACCUGCGUUGUAUUAGCUAGUUGGUGGGGUAACGGCUUACCAAGGCGACGAUACAUAGCCGACCUCAGAGGGGGAUCGGCCACACUGGGACUGAGACACGGCCCAGACGACUACGGGAGGGAGCAGGAGGGAAUCUUCGGGAAUGGACGGAAGUCUGACCGAGCAACGCCGGGGGAGUGAAGAAGGGUUUCGGAUCGUAAAGAUCGGGUGUAAGAGAAGAACGAGUGUGAGAGUGGAAAGUGCACACUGUGACGGUAUCUUACCAGAAAGGGACGGCUAACUACGUG
rnacentral:rRNA from 1 species